rnacentral:misc_RNA from 1 species
UGAACAGUACGAUACAAUUUUGAGUUUACAGGUUAAAAUUGUAUGGUAAAAUGAUUUUAUUUGAAUAUUUCUCAUUUAAUUUAUGUCUGGAAGUCGUCAUUUAAAGUCUUAAGCUAUGUUCAAACUUUAAGCACAGGAAUUAGUUAUUAUUUUUAGUGAAGAUGUUGAAUCGGAUGUGCAAGUACUCAACUUGAAAAUCAAGUAUCUAUUAGCUUCCAG